UGAAGGGGCAGAGAAUUAAGGAAGUCCUGUCCAUCACAGAUUUGUGUGACAACAUCAACACCAGGAGGGAGUGUAUCCUGAAAGGCCUUGUCAUCUACCUCAAUGAAGAUCCAGACACCUUCUUCAAAGACUAUCUGGCGCUUGCGACUGAGGAUGCAGAAAGGGACCUAGCAACCACAGUCAUGGGGAUUUAUGUGAUCCGAAGAGAUGGGGAUCAGGAGCCUGAGGACGUUGGAGUUGUGAUUGAAGGCAUCAAAGUCCUGAAAAACUUGGGCAGUGUCAUCCUGGGCUUUGUCAUGCUUUUUGGGCUCAUUUAUGCCCUUGAUCUGAGUUUUCCAGACAACCUCAAAUACACCUUUUGAGUUUUUCCAGAAGAUCAAAAUGAAUUUGGAUGGGCACAAGCUGAAUGCAAAGAUACAACAGCUGAAAAUCAAGUUGUUUGCAUAAGAUAACACAA